UUUCGCAAACUUUACCCACAGUCUACACCGUCAAGGAAGUUUGCACACGCUGGUUCCCAAUUCCUACGAUCGAGGGACUGUAUCUAUCAGUUAUAUAUUUUCUUUAUUAUAAUUGCGUUACAACAUUUCAACAAUUCUCUAAAUACAUCAAUUCAAUCUCGAUUCAAUCUCAAACUUCUCACUUCGAACUCCGAACUCACGCACUCUUACAUUUUACAACUCUAUUUAUAAUAUUAGCUAAGGUCUCUGAGCCAAAGCAUUGACGCGCGCAUUCCUGAGGUUUCCGCGCUUGGCAGCCAAAAAGCGGGGUUUGCUGCGUUGGCUUCUUACGAUAACCUAAUCUUUGUCCAUCCGUUCAUAUAAGUUUUGGCAAAAACAACUACAUAUUUUGCCCACAAACAUCCUCAUACUUUACAAUCUAAAUUAUAUUUCCUACAUACAAUUAACGCAACUUUUACAACACUCUCCCCCCUUUGAUUCGCUACGAAU